rnacentral:rRNA from 1 species
UACGUAGGGUCCGAGCGUUGUCCGGAAUUACUGGGCGUAAAGAGCUCGUAGGUGGUUUGUCGCGUUGUCCGUGAAAACUCACAGCUCAACUGUGGGCGUGCGGGCGAUACGGGCAGACUGGAGUACUGCAGGGGAGACUGGAAUUCCUGGUGUAGCGGUGGAAUGCGCAGAUAUCAGGAGGAACACCGAUGGCGAAGGCAGGUCUCUGGGCAUUAACUGACGCUGAGGAGCGAAAGCAUGGGGAGCGAACAGG